rnacentral:rRNA from 1 species
UACGGAAGGGGCAAGCGUUGUUCGGAAUCAUUGGCGUAAAGGGCGCGCAGGUGGUUCUGUAUGUCUACCGUGAAAGCGUACGGCUCAACCGUAUUUUGUCGGUAGAAACUGCAGGACUUGAGGCUGGGAGGGGCUGGUGGAAUUCCCUGUGUAGCGGUGAAAUGCGUAGAGAUGGGGGAGAACACUCGUGGCGAAGGCGGCCAGCUAGACCAGUUCUGACACUGAGGCGCGACAGCGUGGGGAGCAAACAGG